rnacentral:rRNA from 1 species
GAUGAACGCUGGCGGCGUGCCUAAUACAUGCAAGUCGAGCGAACAGAUGAGGAGCUUGCUCCUCUGACGUUAGCGGCGGACGGGUGAGUAACACGUGGAUAACCUACCUAUAAGACUGGGAUAACUACGGGAAACCGGAGCUAAUACCGGAUAAUAUAUUGAACCGCAUGGUUCAAUAGUGAAAGACGGUUUUGCUGUCACUUAUAGAUGGAUCCGCGCCGCAUUAGCUAGUUGGUAAGGUAACGGCUUACCAAGGCAACGAUGCGUAGCCGACCUGAGAGGGUGAUCGGCCCCACUGGAACUGAGACACGGUCCAGACUCCUACGGGAGGCAGCAGUAGGGAAUCUUCCGCAAUGGGCGAAAGCCUGACGGAGCAACGCCGCGUGAGUGAUGAAGGUCUUCGGAUCGUAAAACUCUGUUAUUAGGGAAGAACAAAUGUGUAAGUAACUAUGCACGUCUUGACGGUACCUAAUCAGAAAGCCACGGCUAACUACGUG